rnacentral:rRNA from 1 species
GACGAACGCUGGCGGCGUGCCUAAUACAUGCAAGUCGAGCGAGCGGAACUAACAGAUUUACUUCGGUAAUGACGUUAGGAAAGCGAGCGGCGGAUGGGUGAGUAACACGUGGGGAACCUGCCCCAUAGUCUGGGAUACCACUUGGAAACAGGUGCUAAUACCGGAUAAGAAAGCAGAUCGCAUGAUCAGCUUUUAAAAGGCGGCGUAAGCUGUCGCUAUGGGAUGGCCCCGCGGUGCAUUAGCUAGUUGGUAAGGUAAAGGCUUACCAAGGCGAUGAUGCAUAGCCGAGUUGAGAGACUGAUCGGCCACAUUGGGACUGAGACACGGCCCAAACUCCUACGGGAGGCAGCAGUAGGGAAUCUUCCACAAUGGACGCAAGUCUGAUGGAGCAACGCCGCGUGAGUGAAGAAGGUUUUCGGAUCGUAAAGCUCUGUUGUUGGUGAAGAAGGAUAGAGGUAGUAACUGGCCUUUAUUUGGCGGUAAUCAACCAGAAAGUCACGGCUAACUACGUGCCAGCAGCCGCGGUAAUACGUAGGUGGCAAGCGUUGUCCGGAUUUAUUGGGCGUAAAGCGAGCGCAGGCGGAAGAAUAAGUCUGAUGUGAAAGCCCUCGGCUUAACUUAGGAACUGCACCGGAAACUGUUUUUCUUGAGUGCAGAAGAGGAGAGUGGAACUCCAUGUGUAGCGGUGGAAUGCGUAGAUAUAUGGAAGAACACCAGUGGCGAAGGCGGCUCUCUGGUCUGCAACUGACGCUGAGGCUCGAAAGCAUGGGUAGCGAACAGGAUUAGAUACCCUGGUAGUCCAUGCCGUAAACGAUGAGUGCUAAGUGUUGGGAGGUUUCCGCCUCUCAGUGCUGCAGCUAACGCAUUAAGCACUCCGCCUGGGGAGUACGACCGCAAGGUUGAAACCCAAAGGAAUUGACGGGGGCCCGCACAAGCGGUGGAGCAUGUGGUUUAAUUCGAAGCAACGCGAAGAACCUUACCAGGUCUUGACACCUAGUGCCAUUUGUAGAGAUACAAAGUUCCCUUCGGGGACGCUAAGACAGGUGGUGCAUGGCUGUCGUCAGCUCGUGUCGUGAGAUGUUGGGUUAAGUCCCGCAACGAGCGCAACCCUUGUUAUUAGUUGCCAGCAUUAAGUUGGGCACUCUAAUGAGACUGCCGGUGACAAACCGGAGGAAGGUGGGGAUGGCGUCAAGUCAUCAUGCCCCUUAUGACCUGGGCUACACACGUGCUACAAUGGGCAGUACAACGAGAAGCGAGCCUGCGAAGGCAAGCGGACCUCUGAAAGCUGUUCUCAGUUCGGACUGCAGUCUGCAACUCGACUGCACGAAGCUGGAAUCGCUAGUAAUCGCGGAUCAGCACGCCGCGGUGAAUACGUUCCCGGGCCU